AGUCGAGUACUGACCCUCGCAGGCAGAGCCAGAGGCGGCACACCAGUGUGGAAGAGGACGGGCCGCCUCCCGUUAAAAUAGCCUGGAGAACAGCCGCCGCCAGGAAGUCCUUACCAGCCUCCAUCACAAUGCACAAGGGGAGCCUAGAUCUGCACAAGUGUAAUAUGUCUCCAGUUGUGAAAAUUGAACAAGUGUUUGCUCUCCAGAAUGCAACAGGAGAUGGGAAGUUUAUUGAUCAGUUUGUUUAUUCAACGAAGGUACCUCUUGUUCUCUAGGGGUUUGGGGAAUGCCACUGAGACCCACUUAAGAAUGUGAUUUAAAUCCCCCCUGGAUCCACUGCAUUCGAAGCAUACAUUCCCGUUUACUCUGGGCAAAAAGCUCUGUCCUUCCCGUUUGCCUCUUGGAACAUCCCCAUCUGUAGUAGAUUAAUCUUGAGCAAUACAGCUAAAAUUGAGCUUAGCUCCUGGAAAUCAUGAAAAAAACUGGGCAGCUUGCCUGUUUCUAAUUUGUAGAGUUAGUUUUCCUUUGUUGUAAAGUAUGAUUUUUAUUAAAAGUUUUCUUUUAUCUG
rnacentral:lncRNA from 1 species